UACGGAGGAUCCAAGCGUUAUCCGGAUUUAUUGGGUUUAAAGGGUGCGUAGGUGGCCUGGUAAGUCAGGGGUGAAAGACGGCAGCUUAACUGUCGCAGUGCCUUUGAUACUGCCGGGCUUGAAUACAGUUGAAGUGGGCGGAAUGUGACAAGUAGCGGUGAAAUGCAUAGAUAUGUCACAGAACACCGAUCGCGAAGGCAGCUCACUAAAGUGUGAUUGACACUGAGGCACGAAAGCGUGGGGAU
rnacentral:rRNA from 1 species